rnacentral:tRNA from 2 species
GCGUUCGUAGCUCAAUUGGAUAGAGCGUCAGCUUCCGGAGCUGGAUGUUGGCAGUUCAAAUCUGCCCGGACGCA